rnacentral:lncRNA from 1 species
CCUUGGGCUGAAGUGCCAGCUUCGAGUGUGAACAAGACCGCGGGCGGGGAUGUUUGACAUAGCUGGCUCGGGUGGUUUGAGUCCCCUCAGCGCUCCAGAAGCCUCGUUUCCAUGCCAACCGUUGCCGCUGCGCUCACGGGCUGGUAUCACUCUGAAGCGGGUCCUGAAAGGAUGCCAAGGGAACACUUUCUGCUAGAAGCGGGUCAUUUGCAUGCCAUUUGCAUACUCAGUCAUUUUUCUGGGUUCUCCCCAAACAGGGGCCAGUUGACACAUUCGUAGGUCACAAGACAGUGCGUGACUGGAUGAGACCUUGGGGUCUGUCCCUGGGGAGACGGUGAGUCUUUUCUCUGUGUGGAAUGGAAGGCACUCAUGGGCGUGUGUUGGCCAAAGGGGUGGACUGUGGCAGAGACUGCUCGUGUACGGAGACGUCUGUGUCACUUCCUGUCCCCCUGGGUGCUCCACGAGGCCACAUUCCCAGCAGUGAGCUGGUCAAGUGACUGAAUUAUGGCCAAAGGAAUGCGGGCAGAGGGAGGCACACCACCUCCAGGCCUGGCCCCGAAAAUCCCGCAUUUUUCUCCGCAUCUCCUCUGUUUUCAUUCCCCGGCUGGACGAUGCCAAGGUGACCUUGGCAGCUGUGUGUUGAAGGUGCAGGUGCACGAAACAGAAGGACCCGGGUCCCUGGAUGACUGCCUGCGUGGAGCUGAGCCCUGGGUGCCCCACGUUGGGUGGUGACGGCCUCGAUCCUGUCCCUGCUGCCUGGAAAUCUCCUGCUCUGUUUGGUCAAAUUCACCUGUUAUCCUUCGGAUCUGAGCCCAAAUGUCACUUCCUCAGGGAAGGAUUCCCGGCACCCUCAGACGGGACUGUGUCCCCGUGUCUCAGUUGUGGAUCUCAGCGCCUUGCAGGCACCUUCUCAGCACCCGUUCCAGAGCACAAGAUGGAAAGAGAGCUCCUUCCUGGACGUCUAAGCUUGCGGGCCUCCGGAGCCCGUUCACCUCCUCAGUGGUGCUGUGUAGGAUAUCGGCCUAGCUGCUGUGACAGAGAGAUUCUGACCCCCGUGGUACACAAGACCGAGUGAAUGGGAUGGGGGGCCGGAGGAGGGAGAGGGUGCUGUCUGCUCCUCCCACUUUGUGGUCCACUGAGGUCGGGGCACUCUGGCAUCCUCCAGACCUCCGUUUCCGAGUUCAG